CGGACAUAUCAUAUUGAAACACCGUUUCUCGAACGAUCACCGAAGUUAAGCACACGUCAAGUCUGGUCAGUACCUAGAUGGGUGACCGCUUGAGAAUACCAGGUUCUGUAAG